rnacentral:rRNA from 1 species
AGAGAGGAGCUUGCUCUUCUUGGAUGAGUUGCGAACGGGUGAGUAACGCGUAGGUAACCUGCCUUGUAGCGGGGGAUAACUAUUGGAAACGAUAGCUAAUACCGCAUAACAAUGGGUGACUCAUGUCAUUUAUUUGAAAGGGGCAAAUGCUCCACUACAAGAUGGACCUGCGUUGUAUUAGCUAGUAGGUGAGGUAACGGCUCACCUAGGCGACGAUACAUAGCCGACCUGAGAGGGUGAUCGGCCACACUGGGACUGAGACACGGCCCAGACUCCUACGGGAGGCAGCAGUAGGGAAUCUUCGGCAAUGGGGGCAACCCUGACCGAGCAACGCCGCGUGAGUGAAGAAGGUUUUCGGAUCGUAAAGCUCUGUUGUAAGUCAAGAACGAGUGUGAGAGUGGAAAGUUCACACUGUGACGGUAGCUUACCAGAAAGGGACGGCUAACUACGUGCCAGCAGCCGCGGUAAUACGUAGGUCCCGAGCGUUGUCCGGAUUUAUUGGGCGUAAAGCGAGCGCAGGCGGUUUGAUAAGUCUGAAGUUAAAGGCUGUGGCUCAACCAUAGUUCGCUUUGGAAACUGUCAAACUUGAGUGCAGAAGGGGAGAGUGGAAUUCCAUGUGUAGCGGUGAAAUGCGUAGAUAUAUGGAGGAACACCGGUGGCGAAAGCGGCUCUCUGGUCUGUAACUGACGCUGAGGCUCGAAAGCGUGGGGAGCGAACAGGAUUAGAUACCCUGGUAGUCCACGCCGUAAACGAUGAGUGCUAGGUGUUGGAUCCUUUCCGGGAUUCAGUGCCGCAGCUAACGCAUUAAGCACUCCGCCUGGGGAGUACGACCGCAAGGUUGAAACUCAAAGGAAUUGACGGGGGCCCGCACAAGCGGUGGAGCAUGUGGUUUAAUUCGAAGCAACGCGAAGAACCUUACCAGGUCUUGACAUCCCGAUGCUAUUUCUAGAGAUAGAAAGUUACUUCGGUACAUCGGUGACAGGUGGUGCAUGGUUGUCGUCAGCUCGUGUCGUGAGAUGUUGGGUUAAUCCCGCACGAGCGCA